UGAAUCAGUGAUGAUAACUUGGCUCCCUCUACUGAAUACUGUGAGGAGAUUGCCACUGUUACCCAAAUUUUGUCUGAGAUAUG
rnacentral:snoRNA from 1 species